rnacentral:rRNA from 1 species
UACAGAGGUCCCAAGCGUUACUGAGAAUCACUGGGCUUAAAGGGUGCGUAGGUGGUCCGUUAAGUCAGUUGUGAAAUCCCCGGGCUCAACUCGGGAACUGCUUCUGAUACUGGCGGACUUGAGGCCAGUAGGGGUCACUAGAACUGACGGUGGAGCGGUGAAAUGCGUAGAUAUCGUCAGGAAUGCCGGUGGUGAAGACGGGUGACUGGGCUGGUUCUGACACUGAGGCACGAAAGCGUGGGGAGCGAACGGG